CCUACGGGAGGCAGCAGUGGGGAAUUUUGGACAAUGGGCGAAAGCCUGAUCCAGCAAUGCCGCGUGAGUGAAGAAGGCCUUCGGGUUGUAAAGCUCUUUUGUCAGGGAAGAAACGGUGAAAGCUAAUAUCUUUUGCUAAUGACGGUACCUGAAGAAUAAGCACCGGCUAACUACGUGCCAGCAGCCGCGGUAAUACGUAGGGUGCAAGCGUUAAUCGGAAUUACUGGGCGUAAAGCGUGCGCAGGCGGUUUUGUAAGUCUGAUGUGAAAUCCCCGGGCUCAACCUGGGAAUUGCAUUGGAGACUGCAAGGCUAGAAUCUGGCAGAGGGGGGUAGAAUUCCACGUGUAGCAGUGAAAUGCGUAGAUAUGUGGAGGAACACCGAUGGCGAAGGCAGCCCCCUGGGUCAAGAUUGACGCUCAUGCACGAAAGCGUGGGGAGCAAACAGGAUUAGAUACCCUGGUAGUCCACGCCCUAAACGAUGUCUACUAGUUGUCGGGUCUUAAUUGACUUGGUAACGCAGCUAACGCGUGAAGUAGACCGCCUGGGGAGUCGGUCGCAAGAUUAAAACCGUCAAAUGAAAUUGACGGCUAGGAGACGUGACGACGGACGACGACGAGGGGAGGAGG
rnacentral:rRNA from 1 species